UAGAUUUCUUCAAUUAUUUGCCCUCCACUUAAGGCAUUAUGCUAAAGUUGAAAUAAAAUAGCUAAUGCUAUUAGUAAAAAGACUUUCUUUUGGAAAACAACCACUAUGAUUAAAUUCGAGGAACUAAAGUUGUCAAUCAUAGCCUUGGUAAUCUCUUAAGAUGUCUAGUGCAAGACUAACUGAAAAGUUGGAGCAUUUUACCACAAGCUGAAUUUGCUUCUAAUAGUGCUACUAACAUCACUACCAUGGAUAUACUCCUUUGAGGUUGCAAUUCACUUAAAUCCUAAACAACCUGUUGAUCUUGUACCAUUGCCUAAGCUCAUUUCGCAUCAACAAGGAAGGUGGUUCUUUUGCCCAACAUAUCCAUAAUAUAUAUGAAGAGGUGUGAGAAAAUAUUAAGACUAGCAAUGAAAACUAGAAAGAGGUAGCAGAUGUGCAUUGAAGGUUUGUUUAGUUUAAAGAAG
rnacentral:lncRNA from 1 species